rnacentral:lncRNA from 1 species
AAAAAUCUUUUAGGUCUUUAUUCCUUACUAGCAUGCACUAAUUUUUGGCAUAUUUAAAUAUUAAAAAAUAGAAUUAAAAUAGGAUGUCAUAUAAUGCCGUAUUUUUUAAAAUAUGAAGUUAAAUUUUACCAGCAUAUUGACCCGCUAGUCUAUUUCAAGAUAUGCGGUAUCACCAUCCAUUACUGAUAAAGUUUUGUGAUGAUUGGGAGGCAUUCAUGUGAACAUGGAGUUGUUUCAGCUGAGAUUGAAUUGCGCCAAUGGUUUCUUCCAUUUUCUGGAAAGGUUUGGGAGGCAUCAAUAGAAAUGAAAGCAUCAAUAAUACAGUACUUACUUACUCUAAUGCAACGUGACCCAACUCGAGAAGGGAUCAAAUCUCCUAAUAAUUCUAUGGUAAAAAUAUAUAUAAAAGACACUGUUUAAUUCUCUAGCUCUUUUCAUUGAUUUUUUUUUCUUGGUUACUCUCUUUUCAUUGAUUUCAAUCCAUUACAUAGGACAAUUCAGUUAACAUAAAUUGAAGAGACCUGAAAUCUUAGAGAGACAGCAUAAAAAAUAAGAUUGAAUGUUGCUUAAUUGUUGUUGAAGUCUUUCAUCCAACAAGGCUGGUACCGUAUCAUGAAGCUUGAGAACCAUGUCCGCGAGUCUAGAAAUUUUUCUACUAAAAAGUUGCAAGAAAAUUUUACUUUGUCUAGUUUGAACUUCUAAACUAUUCUAUUCUAUUUUGUCUCAAUUUUCUUUUAACUUUUUUUUCAUAUGAUAAAUAUUCUCACUACCAGAUGCAUAUUUGCUACUAAUGACAAUGGAGAGAGGCCCCAAAAAUGAAGGUCAAAAUUUCAAACCAGAACGUCACAAAGUCCACACUCUUGUAAGGUGUCUUGUGCAAAACUAGACCCCCUCCUGCUGCAUUGCCACCGCCAAUAGUUAGGCAAUAUUCUCAUGUGGACUAUCUUUGAGCAAUGAACAUAGUAUGUUAUUUUUUGAAUUGGUGAUGUAAUUUAAUUUCUUCAUUACAACUCUAUUUGGUAUUGAUUCGUUGUGUGUGUUGUAAACCACCUUCUCAUGAACAAACAAGAAACAAGCUUAUGCACAAUUUCUAAACACACAAAAGUAGUAGAACUGAAGUAACAUACCUCCGCUUAGGUUGUUUUCAAUUUCAUGCUCGAAUGUUUUCAUUUUCUUCAUUACUUGGGUUUUGUUGGUCAGAG